UACAGAGGUGGCAAGCGUUGUUCGGAAUUACUGGGCGUAAAGGGCGCGUAGGCGGCCUCCUAAGUCGGACGUGAAAGCCCCAGGCUUAACCUGGGAACUGCGUCCGACACUGGGAGGCUUGGAUUCGGGAGAGGGAUGUGGAAUUCCAGGUGUAGCGGUGAAAUGCGUAGAUAUCUGGAGGAACACCGGUGGCGAAGGCGGCAUCCUGGACCGAGAUCGACGCUGAGGCGCGAAAGCUAGGGGAGCAAACGGG
rnacentral:rRNA from 1 species